rnacentral:rRNA from 1 species
CAUUCAGUAGCGAGCUUAACCGAGUAGGGGAGGCGUAGGGAAACCGAGUCUUAAUAGGGCGACUAGUUGCUGGAUGUAGACCCGAAACCGAGUGAUCUAUCCAUGGCCAGGAUGAAGGUGCGGUAAAACGCAUUGGAGGUCCGAACCCACGCAUGUUGCAAAAUGCGGGGAUGAGCUGUGGAUAGGGGUGAAAGGCUAAACAAACUCGGAGAUAGCUGGUUCUCCCCGAAAACUAUUUAGGUAGUGCCUCGAGUAUGAGACUGAUGGGGGUAAAGCACUGUUAUGGCUAGGGGGUUAUUGCAACUUACCAACCCAUGGCAAACUAAGAAUACCAUCAAGUUGCUCCUCGGGAGACAGACAUCGGGUGCUAACGUCCGGUGUCAAGAGGGAAACAACCCAGACCGCCAGCUAAGGUCCCAAAUGAUAGAUUAAGUGGUAAACGAAGUGGGAAGGCACAGACAGCCAGGAUGUUGGCUUAGAAGCAGCCAUCAUUUAAAGAAAGCGUAAUAGCUCACUGGUCGAGUCUUCCUGCGCGGAAGAUGUAACGGGGCUCAAAUCUAUAACCGAAGCUGCGGAUAUACUUUUGUAUAUGGUCUGUCUCUUAUACACAUCU